GCUUAAGGCCAUCUGGUUUAGGAGACAGGCUCUUCACUCUGAGGCCGCUAAUGAAUCUGACUCUUCCUGUCUAACUCCUCAAUAUCGUUUGCUUCCUAAACACUAAACGCGAGCUGUGUUUCCUUUCUCCUCUUCUUCAAGCACACAUGUUCAUUACCUGGAACUUUGGGGGGCCGUGCAUUUGUUGCUGUCCAGCAUCGGAUUUCAUUUUUAGCUCUCUGAGAACCUCAGAUGUUUUGACACCUUAAAGUAGUUUUGGGCCUCAAGUCAUCUAUGGAACCCUGAGGAAACUGAUGGCUGCCCAACGAGGCCUGCUUGCAGAGCUACCUUCUGCUGAAGGCAUUUUAAAAGCAAUUGUCUAAGAAUCCAGCUACAUGGAAAAUGAACUCUUCUGAAGACACAGUGUCCCCAGAGGGCAGCCAACAACCAAAGAUGUGCUGUUCGGUAGAGGCAGAUCCUGUGUGGUUUUAUGUUGGAGAGCGUGCCUUCCUAACUUAAACUCCAGUUCUCAGCUUCUGUCCCACUGUAUGGUCCUGGGGACCUGGGUCUUCACUUACCUAAAGUAGAGACAAUCCUAGUAGCUCGAAGAGCUGUCUGUCUCUGGUACCACCUGAGACAACGUUGGCAAAGUGUUUAGCCUAGUGCCUGAAUUAUGUGGAGUGCUCAGUGGAUGCUGCCUGUAACUAAGAGGUAGAGGCUUCAUGCGGCAAAGAAACCUAAGAGAUCAUCUAGUCACCUCCACCAGCUGAGCACAUGCCUCUCUGCAGCUGUACACAGCCACCCAACCAUUGGGUGACAGCUGCCUCUGACAGGAAGCAGGCUUCCACACUGCGCACUUUAGCAUGCUCUCGCCACACUUCUUCCAAGUCUGUUGAUGGUAGUGGGUGGCAAUAUGGCAGUGGGCAGUGAUGUGCUGCUUCAAAUUGCAUGGCCACUCAUUCAAUAAAUACUUGCUGAGCAGAUUCCGCUGUGCCAGAGGGAACUUUCAUCAUUGGUACCGUGCUAUGGUGUUCUUGCCUGGCUUGGCUACUCUGUCAUACAGCAAGCUGAGAAGUUUCCGAUGGCUGCACUGAUGAGACCUCCAGUGGCCUGAGAGAUACCAAGCCGUGUCCCCUCACACAGGUGCCACUCACAGGACAGAGGAGUCUGGAUGUGAUGGGGGAGAGACAGAAACCAGCACUCGGUAUCUUCGCUGAGAAGUGGAGAGCAGUAUCUGGCUCCGAGUGUUGAACGGCUCAUUGCCUCUGCUGUUCCUGUCUUCCUUCAUGUUAAGAAAACAGAAGAUGCAGUCAAACUUUGAGUUAAUGGGUCUGCUCCAUUCAUUAUUUACCCAGGGUGGUGCUUUAUCACAGAGGCUCCUAAGUGUUUGACAAAGAAGGCAUCUCAUUAGCGCCUGGGAGGUUAUGGGUUGGCCAGAUGGUGGCUGUUUUCUUCUUUUCCUGGAGAGAGGCACAAGUGUCUCAGACUGUGUGGCAGCGGUUUCAGUUCUGAGGAUCCUAGCAAGCAAGUCACGUGCCUUCCUUCCUGAGUCCUGCCUUACACUUUGGUAAACGUAAAAAGCAAACACUUUCCAGUCUCUUGCUGGCAUGUAGGUGCUGCAGAGAUGGUGUUUAUGUGCGACAGAGUCCUACAGAAACAAGGGAAGAGUAGCUCCCAGGUGCAGCUAGUAUCCUUGACCUAGUAGCUAUUCUCAGCCCUGGGCAUACUGACAAAGGAGGUGGGGAGGGGUGACUCAUCACCUUUGAUUCUUAGCUAGUGGCAUAUGUAUGUAUGUAUGUAUGUAUGUAUGUAUGUAUGUAUAUAUGUAUAUAUGUAUGUAUAUAUGUAUGCAUGUAUAUGUGUACAUAUAUAUAUAUACACACAUACAUAUAUAUGUUAUUCAGUAUCAGAAAACUAGUUAAAUGUAGGUCUUUUAGGUCUUUCCCCUUCUAAGAACCAGGGGCAAAGAGAACCAUACCCUAAUUAAUUAAUACAGGAAUAGGAAAAGUUUUAUUAUGGUAUACAAUGAAUGAGGAGCUGGUUCACAUCUUUUAUGCUGAACAAAAUCUAGUAAUUCCAACGAUAACACUAAUCAUCACAGAGCAGCAAGGGCUGUUUACUUAGUACUUCUGCAUGUCUCUGUUGAACUUGAUGCUGGAUGAGCACCAGCUAGUUUAGUCACCAGGCCAGUCUUAAGAGGUUUUCAUGUAGCAUAAAUUAAGCACCCAGUCCACAUCAUUUUAGGCAGUUAGGAUGGGUCUGGGAACGAGACAGCAGUGGAUAACAGGCAGUUGUCGUAGUAAAUAAAUUAUAUAGAAUACUAGAACGUGAUAAGUGCCAGGAAAAAAGAAAGAAUAGGAAAAUAUUUGGGGUGAGCAAACGAUAAGUUAAGCAGUCAUGAAGGGGGUGGUAGCACAUCAGAGACUUUGAGGAGAUCAAGGAGGGAGAUGGAAGCAAAGGCAGAGCUAGUCAAAGGCCGAGAUGCGAGGUGGCAGAGCGCUAGAUGCUUUUGGGGAGCAGUUGGGUGGAAUGCUCUGUUGAGUGGACCAGGAGAUGAGAUGAGGGAGGCACUGGGGCAGGGGCGGGGGGAGAAUUACGGAGAGGGGAGCAACGGAAGGGUUUUGAGCAAAAGGAAAAGAUCUGGCUUACUCUGGCAGCCGUGGCGAAAUAAGCAGUGUAUUAUUCCUAUUGUAUGUUACAUCCUGGGUCGGGUUAUCGUUCCAAAGUAACAGCUAGUUAGCGGCAGAGUGAGACAGUCUCCUACGUAACUUUAGACCUCAUGGCUUUGAGUGCACUAUUGUCUCUGUGAUAUGAUCAAAACCACUCUUCCUGCAAACAGAUGAUUGUCCUACUUUCAACCUGCUUCUCCUGCGGCCGAUCUACCAUGCAGGGAUGGGGUAAGCUAGAGGUUUGAUCUCGUGCUAUCAGUGAAUCUCUUUGCCGGCUUGCUUAUUUGCAGACUGGUCUCACUGUGAGACCAAAUGCUUUGUGAUUCCAGCUUUGCUUUCCAUUGCCCCAUAAAGGAGCGGGGACACAGGGAAAACCCCAUUUCCCCUCUGGGCCCUUUUUGGGAUGGAGACUGAUGUCAGGCAUUGGGCACUCUCAACACCAUCUUCAAUGGCCUAGGGAGUUGAUGGCAGAGAGAUCAUGGCUACUCUGUGGGAAACAGGGCUCUAUUUCAUUUCUUCUCCCAGAGUUAACACUCCUCUCUCAGCGGGGGCUCCUUUAAUGAAUCAAUUAAGGAGGGUAUUAUUAUUGGAAGCUGUUUUCAGCCCAAUUAAGACCUUUUGGCAUGUCAGUAACGAUAAUAAAAGUGAGUUAAGUCUCAAUUUUUCUUUAUUAGGAUGUUUAUUAGAAGAUUGAAAUGUUCAUUAGGUGAAGAAAAGUGAUAACAUUCAUCUUUGCUCAUCAGAAGCACAAUGGAACCUCAGUUACACUCAGUGUUACUGUGGUUGUGUGUGUGUCUCUGAGUGUGUGUGUGCGUGUGUACAUGGGUGUGCAUGUGCAUCUGUGUCUGUGUGCGUGUACAUGCAUAUGUGUUUCUGGGUUUUAACUCUACUUUGGCUCCAUAGAAAAACAAUUUUGGAGUCAUAAUUAAUUAAUUAAUUAAUUAGGCUGAAGAAUUCAAUGUUGACCACGUCUCUUGCUUUGGAGUGAGAUGCAAGGCCAAUGUCCAAAUCAGGGAGGAGCCAAGUCUGGAAGGUUUGGGAGCACAGGGGCUUAUUUUAGACCAGUUUCGGAAAUUCGUAAUUUUGGACCAAAAAUAACAUGUAGAAAAGUAGAAGAAGGAAAUUAUUUAAACUUUAGCAUUUUCCUCAUAUUUAUCCCCCUUCUUUUAAAAACGGAGCCAUUCUGGAUUCAGCUGAGGCGUCUCAUGGAAGCCUUCCUGAUUUUAUUUCCUGGUCCUUCAUAUUCUCGUUUCCAAGGAUUUUUUAUGCUUACAAAUCUGGUAUUUAUCAUACCUUACAGGCUUUUUUGCCAUUGCCGUGCGGUUCUGGUGUGUGUUCCUUCAUAAGAAUGUGAAGCAUUGUUUUGCUUCCUUUCUGUCUUGACACAUAUAUGUGAGCUUAUUUUCCUUAUUGUAUAAUAGUUCUCUGAAUUUCUAUUGACCUCAAUUAAUUUAACUCAGCACUGUACUUCUGAACACGUUGCUAACUUUUAAAAUCAUAAAUCACACUGCAGUGUACAUUCUGAGCCAUGUAUCCCCAUGUAUGAAUGCAAAUGUUUCUCUAGACUCGAGUUAUCACGUCUUAAAACAAGGUGGAAAUGGAUUUUACAUAGCAUUUCUUGCAUAAGUCAUUCAUAUUCCCAAAUAAAAGUUUUAUGAAGUAAUGCUCCUGCUGUAUCCAUGGAGUGCUCUGAUGUAUAGUCUGGUGCCUAGUUAAUUCUGCUCUGUUUUAUGUUAUUCUGUCCUACUCUAUUCUUUACAUUCUGUCUUUUAAACAAUAUUUAUUUAUUUAUUUUUAUGUAUUUUGCCUGAGAGUAUGUAUAUACCUCAUGUAUAUGCAGUGCCCAUGCUGACCAGCAGGGGACAACAGAUCACUGGGAACUGGAGUUACAUAUCGUAAGCUGAUUUGGCUGUUGGGAGCUGAGCCUGGGUCAUUACUAAGAAUACUAUGUGCUUGUACCUGUUGAGCCAUCUCUCUAGCCUCCACCCAUCUUACCCUUUCUAUCUUACAGGUUUGACUUCAUACUCAUUUUUAACCCAAAGUAUUCUGGUUCUGGCUUACUGAAUUGAUUCUAUGAUUUAGAAAUGGAUUUCAGCAUGCAGUAAAAAACUGUUUUGUAGUAUGUGUAUUCAAAGUGAGAAUUUUGUUCAUUUAAACAUUUCCUAGAUAUUGAUGAUUUGCUGUCUUAAAUGGCUUCCUAUAUAAUUUUCUUGGGUUUUUGCUUUGAGCAGGUCUGUUGUAAACAAUAAUAGUUCAUUUAAAAAUACAUUCUAGUAUGAUAAUUCUUGUUUUAUUGACAAUUUUAUCUGACUAUCCACUGUGGUAUUUUAGACAUAUUUUAUGUUUUGAUCCUUCUUUUCUCCUCAAUUCCAUUGUCUUUUUCUCCUUUCUCUUUCUGUUGGUUGAUAAGUUCCUGUAUUUCCAUCUCCAAGCUCUUGCUUUCUCUCUGCUAGUUUGGUGAAUAAAGACUAUAUAGCUGUUCUUCCAUGGAUAGCCUAACCUGUCCUUUAAAAAUGUGCUUUUCAUUGAAAAUGUAGGUAAAAAACCUCAACUUGUUAAGCAGUAAUGGAUGCAAAAUAUUUACAACCCACUUUGCUCUUCUCUGAAUUUUAGCUUCACUCUUUUAAAACACAUGAAAUGUUAUCAAUUUUUAUGGUCUACAGUGUCACAUUUGUGUCUUGUAUUAUAAUGACCCUCUAAAUUCACUUUUCUUUUGUUGUUAACGUGUAUCCUCAUGUGGUUCUUGAUAGUGAAGACAUGGGUGAUAUGACAUAUUUUUGUAAUGGAAAAUUACCUCUUUUUG
rnacentral:lncRNA from 1 species